UACAGAGGGGGCAAGCGUUGUUCGGAAUUACUGGGCGUAAAGGGCGCGUAGGCGGCCUGCUAAGUCGAACGUGAAAUCCCCGAGCUCAACUCGGGAACUGCGUCCGAUACUGACAGGCUUGAAUCCGGGAGAGGGAUGCGGAAUUCCAGGUGUAGCGGUGAAAUGCGUAGAGAUGCGGAGGAACACCGAUGGCGAAGGCAGCCCUCUGGGCCAACACUGACGCUCAGGCACGAAAGCGUGGGGAGCAAACAGG
rnacentral:rRNA from 1 species